rnacentral:rRNA from 1 species
UACGGGGGGGGCAAGCGUUGUUCGGAAUUACUGGGCGUAAAGGGCUUGUAGGUGGCCAACUAAGUCAGACGUGAAAUCCCUCGGCUUAACCGGGGAACUGCGUCUGAUACUGGAUGGCUUGAGUGUGGGAGAGGGAUGCGGAAUUCCAGGUGUAGCGGUGAAAUGCGUAGAUAUCUGGAGGAACACCGGUGGCGAAGGCGGCAUCCUGGGCCAUAACUGACGCUGAUAAGCGAAAGCCAGGGGAGCAAACGGG